AUGCUUGCUGUGACAGCACAUGUUCUAAAACUGGCAACAAUGCAUAGAUUAGCACAGCCCCUGUGCAAGGACAUGGAAAUGCAUGAGGCAGGCUGUACUUUA
rnacentral:snRNA from 1 species